AUGGUGCAAGCGUUAUCCGGAUUUACUGGGCGUAAAGGGAGCGUAGACGGUUGUGUAAGUCUGAGGUGAAAGCCCGGGGCUCAACCCCGGGACUGCAUUGGAAACUAUGUAACUAGAGUGUCGGAGAGGUAAGCGGAAUUCCUAGUGUAGCGGUGAAAUGCGUAGAUAUUAGGAGGAACACCAGUGGCGAAGGCGGCUUACUGGACGAUCACUGACGUUGAGGCUCGAAAGCGUGGGGAGCAAA
rnacentral:rRNA from 1 species